CGCCAGACUCCUACGGGAGGCAGCAGUGGGGAAUAUUGCACAAUGGGGGAAACCCUGAUGCAGCGACGCCGCGUGAGUGAAGAAGUAUUUCGGUAUGUAAAGCUCUAUCAGCAGGGAAGAAAAUGACGGUACCUGACUAAGAAGCCCCGGCUAACUACGUGCCAGCAGCCGCGGUAAUACGUAGGGGGCAAGCGUUAUCCAGAUUUACUGGGUGUAAAGGGAGCGUAGACGGCAUGGCAAGUCAGAUGUGAAAGCCCGGGGCUCAACCCCGGGACUGCAUUUGAAACUGUCAGGCUGGAGUGCAGGAGAGGUAAGUGGAAUUCCUAGUGUAGCGGUGAAAUGCGUAGAUAUUAGGAGGAACACCAGUGGCGAAGGCGGCUUACUGGACUGUAACUGACGUUGAGGCUCGAAAGCGUGGGGAGCAAACAGGAUUAGAUACCCGAGUAC
rnacentral:rRNA from 1 species